UGAGGAAUAUUGGGCAAUGGACGCAAGUCUGACCCAGCCAUGCCGCGUGAAGGAUGAAGGCGUUCUGCGUUGUAAACUUCUUUUAUAAGGGAAGAAACCUGGAUUUUCUAAUUCAGCCGACGGUACCUUAUGAAUAAGCACCGGCUAACUCCGUGCCAGCAGCCGCGGUAAUACGGAGGGUGCAAGCGUUAUCCGGAUUCACUGGGUUUAAAGGGUGUGUAGGCGGACUGUUAAGUCAGUGGUGAAAUCUCCGGGCUCAACCCGGAAACUGCCGUUGAUACUAUCAGUCUUGAAUUCUGUUGAGGUGGGCGGAAUACAUCAUGUAGCGGUGAAAUGCUUAGAUAUGAUGUAGAACACCGAUUGCGAAGGCAGCUCACUAAGCAGCGAUUGACGCUGAGGCACGAAAGCGUGGGGAUCAAACA
rnacentral:rRNA from 1 species